CCUCCUUUUCUUUGUCAUGCAUGCAUAUUAAUUGAGGAUGGAGAAUACCUACGCUUGUUCAGGCCAGCCAACAUACGACAGUUUACUUCAAGAGAGGAGACAUGGGUUGAAUGCUGAAAACACGCACAGCCAAGCCCAGAUGCCAGUCUUGUUAGCUGCCUUCCUUUACCUUCAAGAGUGGGCUGAAGCUUGUCCAAUCUUUCAAGGUUGCUGAAGACUGUAUGAUGGAAGUCAUCUGCAUUGGGAAAGAAAUUAAUGGAGAGAGGAGAAAACUUGAGAAUCCACACUACUCACCCUGCAGGGCCAAGAACUCUGUCUCCCAUGCAUUGCUGUCCUGUCUCAGUAUUUCCUGUGACCACCUCCUUUUUCAACUGA
rnacentral:lncRNA from 1 species